GACGAACGCUGGCGGCGUGCUUAACACAUGCAGGUCGAACGGAAAGGCCCUGCUUUUGUGGGGUGCUCGAGUGGCGAACGGGUGAGUAACACGUGAGUAACCUGCCCUUGACUUUGGGAUAACUUCAGGAAACUGGGGCUAAUACCGGAUAGGAGCUCCUGCUGCAUGGUGGGGGUUGGAAAGUUUCGGCGGUUGGGGAUGGACUCGCGGCUUAUCAGCUUGUUGGUGGGGUAGUGGCUUACCAAGGCUUUGACGGGUAGCCGGCCUGAGAGGGUGACCGGCCACAUUGGGAAUGAGAUACGGCCCAGAAUCCUACGGGAGGCAGCAGUGGGGAAUAUUGCACAAUGGGCGGAAGCCUGAUGCAGCAACGCCGCGUGCGGGAUGACGGCCUUCGGGUUGUAAACCGCUUUCGCCUGUGACGAAGCGUGAGUGACGGUAAUGGGUAAAGAAGCACCGGCUAACUACGUG
rnacentral:rRNA from 1 species